CAUGAAAUCCAAAAAAAAAAAAAAAAAGAAAAGAAACUUUUAUGAAAGCUAUCCAUCAAAUGUCAGGGAUAAUAAUCAAUUUUCUGUCACAAUGAACUGAUAAAAGCUUUCAGUAAUAAUGUCACGGGGGGAAAAAUUUGUGUUGGAACUCGAAACGCGGAGCCCUGAUAUCAAACGAAUUCAUAAAAGCUCUAUGCCUCUGUAGCCCUUGGAGGCAUGACAAAAUACAAUUUCUCAUCCACAGGAUAUGGAAUAAUUCCCCUUUUUUAUUUUUACACUGAGAAAACCAAAAGGAAAUCUGAAUUUCAAAAAAAAAAUAUUACACAAUCCCACUUUGGCAGGUGAACAUUAGCGAUCGUUUUGGCCGCUGAUAUCAGAAGCCGUUCUGGUGAUUUCUCUCCCAUCAUGCAAAUGAGUGCAUAAUGCCUGCUCUUCUUGGAAUGUACAAUCAAAUCAGCAUUCUAAUGCUACAAGCCGGUGAUGAGCUUGGGAAUAAAUAUGCAGGAGCGCAUAAAAAAAAUCAAGGCAAUCAAGAGGAGCCAGCGUCCUCGCUCGGACUAUAAAUCUUUGUCUAUUUCAAUCGUGGGGCUGGCCGAAUCAGUGUAAAAUUCCAGCGGGGAUGUCAUCAAUUUCUGUUAACCUCUCUAUUCCUCCCUGUGUUGCCUCUGGGGUGAUGGAUUGGUUUUGUCACUCCGGCUCCGUUCACAGUGUGUUAACAUGGGAGGGUGCAGGCAGGUUACGAGGAAAGGUGACUGCUGUCCUAGCCUUGACCCUCUCUCGCGCUCCUCUGUGGGUCACGGGUACCUUUCUGUCCAGGGAGCAUGGGGUCUCCUUCUGGUUCCAGGAUGCUCGGCUCUGGGACCACAGGUUGGCCGGUCCAGUGUUAAGUCACAGUUCACUCUUUUGAAAUAAAAAUGGGUCUGUGGCUCAGCUUGCUGGGGAACAGGUGACCAUGGAUCAAGAAACCAGAAGAAAAUACUUAGCAACCUGGUGUCUAAAAGGCUCAGAAUCUCAGUCACCGACUGGCCCAGCACACAGUUAGGUUACUUUGUGCUUCACUUUCCAAACCAUGACUGGCCUUUCCAGCUGCAAUGCUAGAAUUCUCUCCAACAAUUCUAACGGAGUAUUGGACAUCCCCACUUCCCCAUAACUGCACCCUACAAGACUUACCUGCACAACAUGAAUGAAUCUGGGCAAUGAGAAUUAGAUGGUAAGCAGAAUAAGUUAUCCUCCAUGUACGUAUAACAUGUCAAAAUACACUCCACUGGCGUGUGUAUCUAAAAAGAGCAAAUAAAAAAAAAAUAGGGACAAUGAGCCCAGCAGCAAACUCUAUAUUCUCCUGGGACAUACAGGUACUUCUGGAUAUCUAUCCUAAAAAAUUAGAUCAGGACCCUGGAGCAAUCUCAGCACGCCCAUGUUUAAUGCAGCACUGUUUGCAAGGAUCAAGGUGUAGAAACAACCCAAACGUCCAUCGUCGGAUGCAUGGUAAUAAGCAUGGGGCACAUACGCACAGUGGAAUGUCAUUCAACCUCAAAAGAAGAAGGAAACUCUGCCAUACGAGAUAAAAUGAAUGCGACUGAAGGAUAUUAGGCUACGCAAAAGAAAUGGUCUCAGAAAAAAAAAAAUCACCUGUUUCCAUUUAAAUGAAGCAUCUGGAAACAGCCAUGUUAGCGGCCAGAAGGUACAUGGCGGGGUGCCAUGGGCUAGAGAAGGGAGAUGGGGCGUGGCUAAUCAACAGGCGAAAGUUUCAGUUAAGCAAGUUGAAGAAAUUCUACAGCCCUGUGGUAUAGUAUUGUGCUCAGAGUUACUAAUACUCUAUCUCACCCUCAAAUCUUUGCAAGAGGGUAGAUCUCAGGUUAAGGGUUCUUACCACUAAGAAAUAAAAUUUUUAAAAUAAAAAAAUUAGUAAAAACAAAAUGAAACAAAAACAAAACAGAUGGUAUGAUGCAGUUAUUUUUGUGGUUGCUGCUAUUGGUGACAUAUCAUUUAGCAAAGUAGCAACUAGCCAACAUGAAUACAAAUAAUUAAAUAAAAAUUUAAAAUUUGGCUCUUCAGUGUCAGUAGCCUUGGCUCAAGGCUAUUACAUUGGACAGCACAGACACUGAACAUUUCCAUCAUUGUCAAACACUGCAUGGAUGGAGCUAGUUCAGGUUGCAUUUAUCCAAAGUGUUUCAACGUAGUUACCAAGGGAAGCCAUGGACCUAGGCCAACAAGGUUGCCAUUGUUGAAACAUGGAGACAGCUACAUAGCUGUUAACCAGAGAUGGGGCAUGCUCAUAAGGUGAAGGUUGGCUUGGAGAUUGACUCUAAAGGAAUUUCGAGAAGUUUCCAACUUGUUUUGAGAGAUGGCAAAGUUAUUGAAAUAAGUUUGAUAGAAAGAGCCUGUGGGCAUUUGCUUCCGACUGACCUAGAUUCCAGAUAACAAAUCUGAUACUUCCUUGCACCAAGACCUUGGAAACUUCCUUUAAAGACCCUGAGCCUCAGUUUUCUCAGGCACAACAUUAUCAUUAUCACAACACAAUCAUAACAUAAUUUUUUUUCCUGAGGUUUAAAUGAAAUGACGUUGUAGAGAAGUCUAGAUGGUGCACUGAGCAGAACAGGAGCCUAAAACGCAUUUGUUCACAGGAAGUUCCACAGACAUAACAGGACCCUCAGGAAGGACACAGGAUGUAGUAGAAGUGGGGUGUUUUAAAUCACUGGAACCCCAAGUCAGCACAUACUACUCACCCCUAGGUGGAGAGGUGAUUUUCUUCUUUUGGGGGGAGCUAAGGCAGGGGCCCCACCUCUAGGCAGCCCAAGCCUUUCUGGACUUCCAGUCCUCUAGUAGCUUGAGUGGCUCCCCCUGUGGUGGCCACAGUCAGCAGGGCAUGGCUGGCAGUCUCCACCCUCAGCGUCAGGAAGCCAUGGUGCUGUCCUCAGAGGGUCCUUCUCCCAGCCUGGAAUCCCCUACAGGCACACUGACUGGGUGUCAAUAGCUCCCUCCCCUGGGGGGUUUGCUGCCAAUUAGAACUGGGAUUCUGAACGCAAAGGGCGUGAUUUCAAGCAGCACCUCCUCCUUUAUGAGGAUCUUGAUUCUACUCUCCCAUCUCUGAACUCCGAGCCCCUGCAGCAGCUCUGUGGUCACUCCUCACUCCCCACCCCAAAGAAUCAGGGUAUUUCCCUGCUCCCUAAGCUAUGGCUGAAGUGAGCCGUGAAGCCCAGCCACGGGCAAUGCUUCACACCAGCAGAACAUGUGACCCUCUGGACAGUCUGGUCAGGUGGUGUGUGUCUCCGUGCACAGGGCUUUGUGUGGUCACCUGGUAGGUCACAGCAUCUCUGCAAGAUGCAAUUUUCUUAAAGAAAAAUGGGUAUUUUAACCUCAAUGCCACAUCCGAUCCAAAUGGGCCAGGACCAGGCCAAUACCAGUCAUUAUGAAAAAGUUAAUAGGUGGCCUUGACUGAGACCCCAGAAGCACUGUGUUGAACCAAGUUAACAACAACAACAAAAUUGUCUGGUCAAAUCUGCACUUUUACAUGUAUUCUCUCUCUCUCUCUCUCUCUCUCUCUCUCUCUCUCACACACACACACACACACACACACACACACCCACCCACACACAUGCACACACAGAGAUGCAGUUGAAUGACUGUGGUUUAGAAUAAGUUGACCCCCCUGUGGUGGUGAUGGGAAGGUAUGAAGGUUUGGGAAAGACCAGGUAAUGGGAUGAAGGCAAGCGAGAGCCAUCCAACUGGGUGUCCACUAAAUCCCAAUUGUCAGGAGAACAGGGACCCAACUGCUGCAUUGGCUACCUCAAAACAAACAAAAACAAAACAAACAAACAAACAAAAACUCCUGAUAAAAUACCUGUUGCGAUCUAAGCUUUUAUGACUAAUGAACAGAAGAAUAAAAGAAAGACAGAUGAAGAAAUGCACAGAACCAGGAAACCACCUCAGCUGGUCCAGCGGUUCUCAACAGAACUGUGAUAGAACCUCUCAGGGGGAUCCUGACCAGCUGCCGCGCCUGAGCCCAUCACAGGCCAGUAGAAUCAGAGUCUCUAGGGUGGGGCUGCAGCAGGACCCUCUGUGAGAGUUGCUGUGUGAGUCUAACAUUUAGCCUGGACUGAGGACCACGGGGCUGGUAUCACCCUUAAAUAUAGCAUUUGGGAGGCAGGCAAAUGAACUAUACCCUCCGCCCCAAAUAUAGCAUUUGGAAAAUCUGCUGCCCCAAGAGCAGAAAGAACUUGCAUAGGGAUCCUGAGCAAAUUGCUGGUGCUUCUGAAGAAGGGCUUUUGGUUUGAGCCUCUGUGUGUGUGUGUAUGAGAGAGAGAGAGAGAGAGAGAGAGAGAGAGAGAGAGAAAUGUGUACCAUGAUUUCUUGUGCUAGUGUGUGUUUACACAUGCACAUGAAUCUUCUGUUCCCAGGAGCCUUUAUUCUAUUCUUCUUCUUCCUCUGUUCCUCUUCUCCUAUCAACUUCUCUUACAGGGUUUUUAGAAGCCCCCAGUGGCCUCUUGCAUCCACAGGCUGAGGAACAUCUCUCUACUGUGAGCUCCCACGGUCAUCUGGGUUUCCCAAAGUGUGUGGUUGCACCCCGUUGUGCUCAUGGAGUCUCACAUCUGUGUCUUCCACUAUAGUACAAGAGGGAGAGAUUUGAAUAUGGAGGAAAGGCACACAGAUCUGAAAUGGUGCUGGCUUUGAAGAAGGAAGGAGGCCAGGAGCCAAGGAGUGAGGGCAGCCUCUAAAGCUGGAAAGGGCCAGCACAUGGAUCCUCGUCCAUUGCCUCUGGGAUGCACCUCUGAUGACAUCUUUAAUAAAAACACAAGGGAUGGCUACUAGUUACGGUGGAGAAGACGAUUCCUAUUUACAAAUGAAGAAAAACCGAGUCUCACGCCGGAAAAGGGAAUCUCAGGGCCACAUAGGAGUUAGAUGGAAGGACCUGGAUUAGGAGCCGAGUCUUCAGUCCAACUGAAUUCCAUGCCCUGUUGCACAGAUACUCUCCUACCCCCUUGGCUUGACCCACUCUGCUCCUUCCUCCAUGUCCACACAGAGCCAAAGAGCUCUUUGAUUCCAUCUGGGAAUAUUUCUUGAUUCAGUGGAAAGCAAGUGCUGAGUUAGUCUUGACAACUUACAGUGCUCCUCAUGUCUGCUCCCCGGUGCCGUCAGGGGGUCUAGGGAGCCGUUAUGGUGCCUGCUGGCAGGAUGUCUCUAAGGGUGGUGCCCACCACCCAGACCAGUGGGAAACGAUAGGGUAGUGUCCCUACGGCUCUGGCAUGCUGAACACGCCGCUCUGUGGUCUACACUGAGUCUCUUUCCAGUGAGUGUUCCUGGCCACCUAGCUGGCUAGCUUAAGAAUAAAGAAAGGUCUAUCCCAUGGCAGAUCGAGGAUGGAAACAUGCAAGGGUGGGAAGGACAGUCCUGCUCUUGGUGUGGACACUUUCCCCCCAUUCUUCAGGUCCAGUUUACACCACUGGGUCCAGGGUUUCCUUAGUGCAAUCCCCCUCCUAAACCUUCAGCUCCUAGCAUCUGAGAACACAUCACUGAGGCCUCAGUUCUCCAAGGCAUUCUUGAGGAAGGAGGUGGGCUGGGAGAAAUGGGUAAAGGGAGAUUCUUCAGAAGCAACAUGAGGAAACCAGGGGGUUGGGUUGCUUCUGAGAUGGCAGUCUCUCAGUUUAGCUGUACUGUAGGAAAUAGGUAUCUCUGUACAGGAUGCCGGGGGUGGCUGUUGCAGGGCUCAGGCACAUAGACACUGGGUGAACAAACAGCUGUCCAGAAUGACUCCUGCCCUCCUCCAGCAGCCCUGGGGCUCUCCUGGAUCACCCAACUGAAGGACAACCCCAGGGCAAUCCAGAUCUUUGCUCUUACCCAGAGGCCAGAGGCUGAUCCAGCUGGUCAGGCCCCACUGAGGACACUAUUUCUGCUCCCUGCAAGGACCAGGGUCAGGAAGAAUCCACCCCAAGGGUAGUUGGAGGGAAGAAAAAUAACAAGGCUCGGUGGCGUCUGGGGACCAGAGCACUGUUCGCAUCCGCUGUAAUCAUCAGUGCAUGGCUGGGCUGUCUGGGUAAUUUACAUAACACCCUCCUGACACCUUCACUUCAGUUAUCCAUCACCACCGCGUGGCGUUUCCUUCCCUGGCGCUCUGGCUCACUCUCUCCCUCCGUCCAUCUUCCCCUCUCUCCAAUCCCUCAUUUUUGACUUCUUCCUCCCACUGGCCCUCUUGUUUUUCUGCUUUUUUUUCUUCCUUUCUUCAUUUACACUUAUGUGUAGACAGCCAAGAAAAAAAGAAAAAGAGGUGGAUUUCAACAUCCUUUCUCUCCUUCUUGCUCAACUCACAUGCAUUCAGUAAGUGACGGAGAACCAAGUCAACGGAGUUGGCGGAAGAAGAGAGCUCCCUCUUAUGUAAUAUACAGGAUCACUGGGGACGGGGAGCAGUGUUGCUUCAAUAUAUGUACACAUGACCACACUGGGGAACGAGGGCGCCAGUGCAUACACUGUAGCAAACAUAAAUCAGUGUAUACUUUGCAUUGAACAUAAAUUUGCAAAUAUUGAAAAAUUGGACACUGAGUAGUCAAUUCAUCUUUUAGUAUAACCCAGAGAGCCCAUGAAUACAUAAAUCCAAGGAUCUCACAUACCUAGGAACAUAACCAAGGCAUGGUGCUGAUAGUUUUCUGAGACUGUUUCAAUUGAUUGUGUUUUAAUUGUUACGCCCAAGCAAAUAGGCAAAUAAUCAAUGGGAUCAAUAGUUUUUUCCCUUCAUGGAACAUUGUAGGGAAAAACGAAUGGCUUGGAAAAUUAUGUAAAAAUACCUAGAAAACCUGUUGCGCAGAGUACAUACUUUGUGGUCUUAUUAAUAUAAGUGAACAUCAUUAUGAAAUGUUUGACAAAGACCGAGGAAAGCCAAGGUCACUGGGGAUAGAAUGUUAGGAAAUGGCAAUUUAUGUGCAUCUGAGUUUUAAAGAUAGAAAUUAUUGAAUUGAAUUGGCUCUAAUGCUUUUUCAUAAACUUAAUUCUUUCUUUCUUAAUGCCUGUUGUACCCCACAGUUCUCCCUCAAUUUUUUCUCUUUUGUUUUAUUCUAAAAUAGAUAGCCUAGAUAAAUGGACCCAUGGAUAAAUAGCACAUGCUUCCAACAAUUGCUUCUUGAAAGGCAGGGCCACUGUUUUAGCUCUGCUUGUAGAGCAUUUUAAAAAGAAAUACUGAUGCUUAGACGCCCACAAACUGAAUUGGAGUUUUCAAAUGAAGAGUGGCUAUGAGGUUCCUACAUAGUUAAAUGUUUACCAUUUAGUGUUUUGCCCAUGCACUUCUGGAACAUUCUAGCAUCAUUCCUGUUGAUAAUGUGAUGCCAUUAAGGGAAUAUCCAGUAGCUUUUUUUUUUUGUAAUGUGAAAAACAUUCAUCAUUCACAGUGACAUAUUCUCAUCAUGGCUACUUUUGGGUCCUGAAUUCCAGGCCCGUGCUAUGAAUUUCAUUUCCAUUAUCACCCAUAUCCUGAUCACAAUGUCACAUGGUGGGGACUGUGAUUCUCUCCAUUACAUAGAUAAAUAAGGGAAGACCCUCAGACAGCAGUGAGUUGCCCAAGACCACUCGCCAGGAAGAUGCAGAGCGAGGACGGAAAGCAGGGUACAGCUUUACGAGGCCCACCGUGGGCAGCGAUGAAUGACAGCAGUGUACUGUUGACUUGUGAUUGACACACUGUUGAUAUCAAAAUAAAAGUGGGAAAUCUAGAGGAGUAAAAUUACUUAUGGCAAGUGGGUGAACUAGCCUGGGACUUCUAGACGUCAAGGGGGGUUGGGUUGCUUGCCUUCAUGUGUCCUCAGUGUCUUAGUUGGGGAUGGAUGACUUCGCUGGAACUCAGCAGAUGCCUGUGGAAGUGACUACCUUUUCAAUGCCAAGGAUUCUGUCUGUGCUUGGAGAGGUGAGGUGUGUACCUCCUGUGGUGAUAAUCAGGAGGUACCUGGCUCACCAGCUCUGUUGACGGAGAGACUCACUACUUGUGUAUCUCUGUGCACAAAUUGUCCUCAUUUUUUCUCCAGUUGCUAUUUUCUAUAAUGAUGGGAAAGAACUCAACAGGUUCUGAAUCACGCUCAGAGGAAGCAUUCACAAAUGUUUGGCCACUUGGCCACUUGUCUUAGCAGGAGUCACAUCAGGGAUUAUGGGAAAAAUUGAAGUUAUCUUGAGAUUGAAUGCUAAUGCCUCUUUCUCCAUCACUAGCAGAGCACCCUGCAAACAGGGACACUGUGUUUGUCUGAGCAGCAUUUCCCUACUGAGGGGGGUCCCUAUGAAUGUCUGGAACCUUACUGGCCGAAGAAGCAAGGAGGCCACCCGCUUUCAGUCCAGAGCUUGGCAUCUGGGAGGAGCAGACCACUGCCUUUGCAGUCAGAGGACACAGGAGGAGACCUCGCCAGCAGAAUUCCCACUGGACAGGUCUGUUCCAAGCUGCUGAAUGGAUGGAUCCCUGAAGAAAGAUGCUGUCUCUACCCCUUAUCCCUUACCUUCUCAGAGGGUAGAGUUUCACAUUUCUGCUUGGGAACCCAGAUGUCAGACUUCUCAAACAGAACCCAGAGUUCAUAAUACACAGAGUGGAAGGUAAGAGUCAGAAAAGACUAGAAGAAGCACCACUUGGCUUGAAGGGACUCUUCUCUGGAAGUUCCAUACCAACCCAAUCAGAUUCCACUAGUGCUCCACGAAUGCUCUCCUCCUUCCCCUAGACCCUUCCCAAUGCUCUGAUGCCAAUACACAUUAUUCCAAUUGCUCAGAGCAUUCUGUCUAUCUAUCUAUCUGUCUAUCUAUCUAUCUAUCUAUCUAUCUAUCUAUCUAUAUUUCUACCUACCUACCUAUCUAUCCAUCCAUCUAUCUUCUGAACUUGAUUUUGUAUUCAUGAAUUUGUUUACUUUCAUUUAUUCACUCAACAAAUGUUUGGAUACAAGAUUUGGGACUGUUUGCUGUUAGAGUUUGCUCAUUGCCUUGGUUCUGCAUGGAAUGCAAAGUCUUUGAGCUCAGGGAUCAUGUCUCUGACCGCACCCUCCCACUAGGUACCGCACCCAGGUCCAUGAUCACACUGCUAAAUGAACACAGGAUGGGUGCAGGAAUGAUCCAGGCCCUGCGGCAGACACUGGGAGGGCGAAAGUCAUUCAGAAAUGGCUUCUUCCUGGCCUUGAGUGGCUCAGGCUUUGUGGAAUAUCACUUCUACCUGAAGAAGAGCACCCAUGAGCCUGCAGCCACACGCCCAGUGUCAGCAGAGACACACCCUCCAUAUAUAACUGGUGACUUGGUGGAGCGUCCUCCACCAAGUCAUGAACCAUGAGCCUGUAGAAGUAGUUGUCGUGUCAGAAUGAACUCGACAUUCUUUGGGAUGCUGGCCCAGCAGAUGCUCUGUCGGUACUGCUGAAUCUGACACUCGAAAGGAGCCUCCCCAGCCCACUCCAUGUGGGGAACCCCAGGGCUCAACGUGGCAAUGAGGACCAAAGGUAGCAGCAAGAGAACAGGAAGAGUAGAGCUGCCCUUCACCGAGUCCUCAGCACCUCCAGGAGCAAGCUAAACACUGGAUCGACGUAUCACUUAAUCCGCACAGUGACGCAGGGAGCUGAUGCUCAUGUCUGUGUUCUGUAGGUCCGGACACUUGCCGGGGUACGUUGUGAUUGCAGUAGUACCUGCUGUGCCGUGGAAGGCCCACUAUCCCAUCCAAACCAGUCUCUCUCCAGAGUGUGUGCCUUCCACCCAUGAAGACACUGGUCUUCUGCACAAACCUGGGCAUGGGGACACAUGACUCUACCUGGAGAUGAGCCGCUGCUGUCCGGAUCCCUUUUCCUAUUUGGGCAAAUCCAGUCUCAGCACUGGACGCCACACUCCUGAAUGGAAAAUGGAGUCUGUCCUGUCAAGGUGACCCCCGUGGUCCAGCCCUCUGAGACUGCCACCGUGGACUUUCUCUAACGGUAACUCAUCAGUUGGCCGUGAUGCAUCUGAGACCCACAGGACUACGUCAGAAUUCCUGUUUUAAAAAUGAGGGCAUCUAGGCUUCAGGAGGUGACAUGCUGUUCCCAGGGCCUUGAGGCUCACGAAUCCUGAGCCAGUUCUAGAAGGAGCCAGAGCCUUCCAGCAGCUGCUUGCUUCUGAGCCACAGAAGAGACAACCCCUGGGACGCAGCAGCAGGAAGCCUGAGAGGUGAGGCUGUGCACGCAGGGUUGGGAGAGGAAAAUACUCCCAAGAUUUCCUGCUUCUGUCUUCCUGUGUGUUUGAACAGGGCACUGAAGGGACAGAGCCGGAAUGCUCUGUUAGUGGCCGGACAGGUCACUCUUUGAACUGGGGAAGUUCAAAUGCCGUAUGGAAAUAGAAGGUGUCAGGUCCUAGGACAGUUGCUGGAGAAAUAGAAAUGAUUCAAUUCCACAUCUUCUUGAUGGAGCUGGGGAGACCAACUCAUGGGAAAGUACACUGAAAACCCCAAACAAGAGAAAACAUCAACGACAUCAGGGCACAGCUAGGAUCAAGCCAUGCACGAGGUACUCUGGGAGAAGAGAGAGGCAGAAAUCAUUUGCAUUAAAAAUAUGAAUGUGAGAUAUUCUGAAUGUAGGUUAAUGGAAUCUAAGCCCAAGACUCUUUUGUUUGGCCUUUAAAAGGGGUCAUUUAUUAAGAAAUCUUUUUCCCUCCCAUUGAUAAUGGAAUAACCAUUUUCUAAUCAAAAUCUCCUUCAGUAGAUUUCUAAAACUCUCAGAGUUCUUAUUUUAACAUCUAUAUCAGAAUGCAACUUGCCCUCAAAGUAUGCAGGCUACAAGUUUCAGAAGGCCCCAAGCAUUUUCCAGCAGAUAUUGGAAAAGUCUCAGCAAUCGGAGCUACUGUGAAACAGAAUCUUAAACUUGGCAAUGAGAAGCAGAGGGAUUCAUUUUUAGAUUUUAAAAAUAAAAAUGUCCAUCUUCAAGUCAACACAUUUCCAUGUUUUGGCAUCUAGAACCAUCUUUAAAAAAAAUAGGACAAAAAUUUUCAGCUUACCUUUGUAUUUAUAAAAGACUUGUUUUUUUGUAAAAAUUCCAUGUUACUGAGUCCUUGCAUGACUUGUUCUAGGAAAUACAACCAGGACUUCUGCAUGCAGACUUCUGGACGUGCCGGCCAUGGGGGUUCACCAGCCAGGACAGGGUGAGAGGCCAACCCAAGCCAAGUGCUUUAUAUAAUUGUCCUAGGCCCUGGGAACCCACCAACACUUGGCCAAUGGCUGAGAAUUUCUCCAACCAAGCGGAAAUGACCAUUUAAAAAGUAGCUUCAAGUUUUUAAUAAGUAAAACUUGGUCUGGAUGCAGAAGUUACAUGGGGCCUUAUCUUAUUUGGCUUGCUCUGAUUUUAUUUCCCAAGCACUGGUUGAUGCUUGCAGGUCUGUUACAGAGCUCUGACUGAUGAGUUCUACUGCCGAAAACUGUGAGGGAUUUCUCUGAACCCUAUGCCUAAUUUAUUCAUUUGCAAAGCAGGGAUGGGAAGGGCAUCUUUCCUAGAGCCGCAAAAGAAGUAUUUGCAUGAAAGGUACUUAAAGUGGUGUCUGGCACUUGGUAAGAACUCAAAAAUGGUCAUUCAUUAUUACAGGUGAAUAAUGAUAACAGCUAGCUAUUCCUGCAAAUCCUCACCAAAAACUUUUACUAAGUGCUUUGAUUGUAUCCACUUUGGAGAUGAAAAUAACUGAAGUGAAAAAGCUAAGCUAAUCUUUUCUAUGGCAUCUCAAGAAAGAUUUCAGGAUUUUAAAUGGAAAGAAGAUUAUUGGCUUUGAGGUCCAGGUGGACCCAUCUCCCACUCAACCUAUGCAGAGUUGGAGGUGCGCCUAGACUAUUUACAAAACUUUAGACAGAAAAGUGAAAAACUCAGUCUUUCACCCUGUUUCCUUACCUGAACAAGGCCAUACAUAUCAGGGUUUUUUGUUUGCUUUUGAUUUUGUGCCACGGAUUUGACCGAAUACCACAGGUAACGAUGACCAUUUGUAGAAGAAACACCUGUGACGGCAUCUUAUAGUCACCUGCCCCCACAGCAAGGUGAGCAGCAGGUGUUGGUGUGGCAGCCUCUCUGCCAAGUCUGACUGUGAGGUGGUGGAGGCAGAAAUGAAGUCCUGGCCUGUUUGAUUUUAAAAGCUCAGGUACUUUUUAAAGAAAAAAAAUGAUCUUUUUACAGUUUGUUUAAAGUCUUGAAGCAAUGGAUCCAAAAAACGAACAAGCAAACAAAAAAGUGGGAAGAAGACAGUCUCCAAUAAUUCCAUCAAUCAGGGGAGAACAUUUUUACAUUUUGUUUAUUUUCUUCUAAGAUUUGUUCUAUGCUUUAAAAAAAUUUAGUGAGAUUACAGUAGAUACAAUUAUUUGUAGUUUGAAUUUAAUUAUUUGGUAAAGAAUUUAGAAAAAGAGAGAUUCUAGUUAUGUAUUUAAAAAUUCCAUAUGACACCCAGAUAAAGUUUAUUUAAAGAAUCCAAAGUGUAUUCAACAGUGGAAAAUCUGUCCAAAUAAUUAUUAAUGGUCUAUGAUAUAAAAAUAAAUUAUCUAAGUAAUUUAAAAUUGAAAAUCAUUUAAUAAAAUGACCUAUAAAUUGGGAUAAAGAAAAAUCCUAGCAUCCUUGAGAUGACAGAAACCUUUCUCAAUCAUAAUUAUCAUGAAUCACCAUCAUGUGGCCCUCAGUAGAGAAACUGUCACACAGUGCCAUUCUGUUAUACUCACACAGUAAAUACAUGUUAAUCACUUAGUGGAGGAAGCCCUUCUAGUGAUGGGGGAAGAGGUGAAUUGGCAACAAAGUCCUAGACUUUGAAGUUAAAUAAGAAAAGGAAAUAAGUUAACUACAGUCUAUUAACAGCAGUGAUUCUGCCAUAAUUUGCAAGCGUUGGUCACAGAGAACCAGCUGAUUAACUGCCAGGACUAGCAAAGGAGGGGCCAGACCUCUCACAUCAGCCAAAAGUUGCAAUGUUACAGUUUGCUGUUGGUAGGUCAAUGAUCCUUUUAAAGCCAACCGCAGUACUCCCCUGGAGCCAGAACACUGAGGAAGCGUUCAGUGCUGAACUUCAACAGAAACGUGCUCAAUCACUUCAAAAAAUUCAUAGUAUUUUAAUAAGGAGCAUGAAAGGGAACUGGAUAAAUUGAGAAAACACUAUGGUGGUGAGUGGGAAGGAUCAACAUCGACAUUCUCCAUAAUUUUUCUAUAAUUUUAAUUCAAUCCAUUCGAACACAAACAGGAGUUUAUUCAUUUAUAUUUUUUUUAAUACAAGGGCCUUAACAAAGUAGUUUCAAAUUUGUUAAUGCCAGGACAGAUCUGAAGCCAUUUAGGAAAAUGCCUUGCACAAAAAUUAUUUUCAUAUUGUCACUUACACUGUAAGGAAACCUAGGUGAAUAUGUUCUGGGCCUUCAUGUUUAUAUGUCUCUUUAACAAGACACAAGAUCAUUGGGCUGGGAAGGUAGCUCAGUGGUAGAGCACUCGCUUCAUGUGUGUGAGACCCUGGGUUCAAGUACUGAAAAGAAAAAGAAAAAAAAAAAAGGAAAGACUGGUCUAUCUGAAAAUAUCAACAUUUAAGACUAUAUAUUAAAAAAGUUAAAAUUGACCAAUGGUAAUCUAGGAGAAAAUACCACCCUACAUAUAUUAAAAAUAUAAAGGAAUGAUAUCAAAUGUCUGAAUACCUGCAGAGCACAUGUCAAUAAGCAAAAUAAAAAUAACAACAAAAAGACCAAAAGCCUAAACUGGCCCUGAAGAGUACAGGAAAUCCAACAGGCCAAGAAGCAUGUGAAAAUUGACUUUCCUAAGAAAACAUCCGGCAAAUGUACGUGACAAGAAGAGUGACAUAAAAUCCACCUUCCCAUCAGUUUGGAAAAAUGUUACUGAGUAAGAGUAGCAAGCACUGGUAGAGUGUGAGUGGACACCAUGGAACUGCUAGCGGGGUAUGAGGCUGAGCCCGGCGUGGACCUCCUCUGUGCCUGGAAGAAGGGCCCUGUUCAAACUAAGUUAUGUCCUCAAUAUAGAACCCUGCACAUCAGUUUAAAUUCCUCAGGUCUUUCUGUGUGCAGAUGUUGAGAAACUGCCUUAAUAUGUGUCAAAAAUCAGUAAAACUAAGUGCGGGCCACUAUGCAACCCUCCACCCCAUUCAUAUGAAGCUAUGUCACAUGCACACACGGACCCAUUGCUAUGGCUGUCAUAUCACAUGUAAGCAAAUGCACAGGAAGACAUCCAGAGGGAGAGUUUUAAAAUAUAGCAACGAUUAACUUGGGGGCAAGUAGGCACAUUGUGAAGGACUUCAGUCUGAGCUAGAUGUCUUGAGUAUUUUUUUCAGUGCUGAAAAUAUUUUUGUGUGUGGCUUGCAUAAUAUAGUUUAUGGAGAACUGGAUUAUAUAAGGAAGAAAUGAAUCUCCUUAAUCCAAAACGUAAUAUUUGUUUAUUCCAAAAAUUUCUCUUGCUCAUGUACCAUUCUUGGGCGGGCUCACUUUCCUAAGUCAUGUCUCUCAGGCAAGUGGUAGUCAUUCCCCUGCACAUGUUCGAAUAGAGUGCUCCCGAAACCCUCAUGCAGUUUGAAGGGACAUUUCUCCACUGAAACUUUAUGUGCUCCCUUGUAGCUAUAUAAAAUAACUGGAAUUACCAUGCAAAUUAAUAAAUAAUUAUGGUAAUAAUCAUCAUCAUCUACAGAAGGUCUUUGUUUUAGGUCAGUUUCAGCUCACAUUUAUACCCCAUAUCUCGUGGGCUCCCCUCCCCCUUCCUUCCUUUCCUCCCUCUUUCCAUCCUUCCACCAUGAUUUUUAGCAUCCACUGUGUACCAGAUUCAGUGCUAAAUCCCAGUGACGUGUAGAUGCGGAGUUCUUGCUGCCUGUCUUCCAGUCACUCUCCACGUCUCAUACAAAUGUUGUAUAGGGUGAGAAAACCAGGAUGAGAUUGUCCCUGUAAAAUAAAAGCAAAAGUCCUGCAUAGAUCUUCAUCAGAUAUUUUCUUAUGUUUCAAGGGCCAGAUCCGGGUCAUCCAGCAGACUUUAGCUUCAAGAGAGGCUGGGAAAUUUAAGGUUUACAUUUUCCAACUUUUAUAACAAAGGCAGGUAAUCAAAAGGAAAGUGGGUCUUGGGUAUGUGUGUUGAGGACGAUGGCACUUGGCACACAGGGGCCAUGCAGAGAAUAAUUUUGUUAUUAAUUUUUAUAGGCAUGCCUGAGUACUGCAGGAGUUCACUCUGGGAUCUUUUGCAUUAGGGUUCACCAGUUCAUGGCAGUGUGUAUUCUAGUGACACCAGACUGGCAUCUUCAUCAGAACCUUUGCCAUCAUCUUCAUCGUCAACCUCCAGUACCUGUAGUAGUGGUGGGAGCAGGUGGUGUCAUCUAUAAGUCUCCAUGGGGGCAACCAGGCACAGGGUCUGCUACCAGCUGAGUGUCAAUCAAGGUCAGGGUCUUCAGGAGUGAUGCUAAAGUAAAUUCCAGAGUGUUCAUUGGAGAUCAAGACCUGCGAAAGGAGGGGGAGGAGGAGAAGAAGAUGGACAGAAGAAGAAGGUGAACUUCCAACGGACAAUAGCAUUUCGGGUCAUCCCUGAGCUCUCAGGAAGGAAUAUAGGGAAUAUGCCUACCAGAGAGUCACAGGUCCAGGAGAAAGGAGCAGGCCAUUGUGUCCAUCUGGCUUGACCACGAAAUAAAGUGGCCUUGGGAAGAAUGGACUUCAGGCAGAGGGAUUUUCGUGCUGGUUGUGAGCUACACUCUCUGCAGGGGGUGGCCCUCUGGGCUUAAAGGGGUUCUUGCAUGAUGAAAUCAGGGGGCUCUCUUUCCAGAAGGAAAAUGCAAAUACGCCCACUGGUAAAUAUGUUGCAGACAAUUUCGUAGGGUUCAUGAAUGUUCCCAGAUCCUCCAAGGCUCUUAUCAUAGAUAAUCCAAAUUAUAUUUUAUCUGCAUCGAAUUUCAUUGUUUUCUAUUCAAAUUUGCAACCCACUGUAUUUCCAUGAAAAGUCAAGAUUAAAUGAUUCUGGGGA